rnacentral:rRNA from 1 species
UACGUAGGGAGCAAGCGUUAUCCGGAAUUACUGGGCGUAAAGAGUUCGUAGGUGGUUUUUUAAGUCAGAUGUUAAAUCUCUGGGCUCAACCCAGAGCCUGCAUUUGAUACUGAAGAACUUGAGGUAAGGAGAGGUAAGCGGAAUUUGUAGUGUAGGGGUGAAAUCCGUAGAUACUACAAGGAACACCAAUGGCGAAGGCAGCUUACUGGCCUUAUCCUGACACUGAGGAACGAAAGCGUGGGGAGCGAAAGGG